ACGGGAGGCAGCAGUGGGGAAUAUUGGUCAAUGGACGGAAGUCUGAACCAGCCAAGUCGUGUGAAGGGAGACGGUUCUAUGGAUUGUAAACUUCUUUUGCUCGAGGGUAAAGUGAGCCACGUGUGGCUUAUUGCAAGUAUCGAGUGAAUAAGCAUCGGCUAACUCCGUGCCAGCAGCCGCGGUAAUACGGAGGAUGCGAGCGUUAUCCGGAUUUAUUGGGUUUAAAGGGUGCGUAGGCGGGAUGUUAAGUCAGCGGUGAAAGUUUGCGGCUCAACCGUAAAAUUGCCGUUGAAACUGGCGUUCUUGAGUGUAAACGAGGUAGGCGGAAUGUAACGUGUGGCGGUGAAAUGCUUAGAUAUGUUACAGAACCCCGAUUGCGAAGGCAGCUUACCAGCAUACAACUGACGCUGAGGCACGAAAGCGUGGGUAUCAAACAGGAUUAGAUACCCUGGUA
rnacentral:rRNA from 1 species